GGGUCGAUGGCGUAGUUGGUUAUCGCACCUGUUUUACAUUGUUAAUAAUCACAGAAGGUCCUCAGUUCGAGCCUGGGUCGACUCA